rnacentral:rRNA from 1 species
UUUCCAGACUCCUACGGGAGGCAGCAGUGGGGAAUAUUGCACAAUGGGGGAAACCCUGAUGCAGCGACGCCGCGUGAGCGAUGAAGUAUUUCGGUCUGUAAAGCUCUAUCAGCAGGGAGGAAAAUGACGGUACCUGACUAAGAAGCCCCGGCUAACUACGUGCCAGCAGCCGCGGUAAUACGUAGGGGGCAAGCGUUAUCCGGAUUUACUGGGUGUAAAGGGAGCGUAGACGGCAAUGCAAGCCAGAUGUGAAAGCCCGGGGCUCAACCCCGGGACUGCAUUUGGAACUGUGUAGCUGGAGUGUCGGAGAGGCAGGCGGAAUUCCUAGUGUAGCGGUGAAAUGCGUAGAUAUCAGGAGGAACACCGGCGGCGAAGGCGGCCUGCUGGACUGCAACUGACGUUGAGGCCCGAAAGCGUGGGGAGCAAACAGGAUUAGAUACCCUGGUA